rnacentral:rRNA from 1 species
GAUGAACGCUGGCGGCGUGCCUAAUACAUGCAAGUCGAGCGAACGGACGAGAAGCUUGCUUCUCUGAUGUUAGCGGCGGACGGGUGAGUAACACGUGGAUAACCUACCUAUAAGACUGGGAUAACUUCGGGAAACCGGAGCUAAUACCGGAUGAUAUUUUGAACCGCAUGGUUCAAAAGUGAAAGACGGUCUUGCUGUCACUUAUAGAUGGAUCCGCGCUGCAUUAGCUAGUUGGUAAGGUAAUGGCUUACCAAGGCAACGAUGCAUAGCCGACCUGAGAGGGUGAUCGGCCACACUGGAACUGAGACACGGUCCAGACUCCUACGGGAGGCAGCAGUAGGGAAUCUUCCGCAAUGGGCGAAAGCCUGACGGAGCAACGCCGCGUGAGUGAUGAAGGUCUUCGGAUCGUAAAACUCUGUUAUUAGGGAAGAACAUAUGAGUAAGUAACUGUGCACAUCUUGACGGUACCUAAUCAGAAAGCCACGGCUAACUACGUG